ACAUAAAUUUACCAUAUAUCACAGUAAUAUUUCUUACUAAAGAUAUUAUAAAGUGUAGCCGGCUGAACCCUCAACCAUCAGUUAUGCUUUCAUGUCAUAACUCCCAGCAUGUGCCCCAGGACCCACGCUCUCAAACCUGUCAGAUGUCAUUCCUGCAAACACAGCCUUGGGCCCAACGACACAUAACUAUGGGAAUGUAUGUGACUUUUUCUCAUUUAAAUCACACGCAUAACACUAUUCAAAUGCUGCGUGAAUAUGAGGGAUUUUCUGAGGGAGCAGUAGCUUACUUGCAGUUUUUUUACUUGUAGGCCCUACUAUAAAAAAAAGUGCAGAUAAACAGCGCCACAGAUUUGACACUUUUUUGGUAAAAUCAACCUAAAAAAUAUCACAUUUAUGGUUCCCUCUACAUAUCAAGAUGAGAAAAAAAUAUUUUAAACGUCGACAAAAUACACGCUUCAGCUUUAAGUGGGACUCGAGUUCGACUCAAAAAGCAAAAUAACCAACAGGUUGGACUUAUUUUCAAGUAGCCUGAACGGUAUUUUAUUUUUGAUUUUUUUUAUUCAACAGAAUAAGUUUUUACACGCAUAUCCAACCUGUUUGAGUUUAAUUAGCACUGACUCGACACACCCUCAUGUGACCACCUGUACCGGUUUUUCCUGAAGAUGUGCCGCAGGCUCCUCGGCCCAAAAUGGGUAAAUGACGAGAAUUAAAGCAAAGCCCAUUGAGCUGUAUUCACACCUGCACGCCGACACACCUAAACCUCGCUGCCCCUUUACUCACGGAGGAGAAGGUUUCGAGGGGAACGCUUUAAAACCCUUCGGAGGCUGUCAGCGCUGAGUAUUGGGUGUGUGAACACCCAUGUUUCGACACGACACGAGCGCUUGGGCCGUUUCUCUCUCAGAUGUUGCAUAAAACCUGGAGUUUCUGACCUGCAGUGCACCUUGCUAGGAAUCGUGGCUGAGAUGAGCAGCAGGAUUUCAGUCAUUGUUUCUAGUAGUGUGCGCUGCAGAUAUGCAGCUUUUACCACGGAGCGCCUUGAAUCAUAUUCACAGUCCUAAGAAGAAAAUGGUCUUCUACUGUAAUUUAUGGCGCACAUAUGUAUAAGGUUUUUUUAUUUUUUUUUAUUUUUUUUUUGGCGCUGGAUGGCAGUAGAGCGCAAGGAAAGCGAGGGAGAGGCACAGGAGAGCGAGUCUGUCACUUGUAAGGAUCUGCACCGUUUACACUCGCAAGUAACCGUGAAAAUCUUUGGCAUGUAGGUGAACCUGCCCAGGAGAGGCAGCUGUUGGCAUUUACACUUCCUCAUUCAUUUGUAAUUGAGGCCUUUAUGCAGAAAACAACCACGCCAGAAUUUGCAUUUCUUCAUUUAUAGCCAUUCAUUUGAAAGUUUCUAUGUAUUCUUGGUUGGGAUGUUUUAUGCAGUUGUUAAGGGUCAAUGACAAAGUACAGAAGCUGUGAAUGUAAGCUGUAUAUCUAUUCAUGAUGGUUCCAUGUGUUUUAAAAACUGUUUUUCAUAAUGGUUUUGACUUAAUGGCCGAAAGUGUUGUAGCCACUGUUGUACCGUGACCAUGAAUGACAAAUAAGUACAUAAAACUAUUAUUUGAAUAAAAAUAUUUGCAAACUUGAGCAGGGAGGCGUGUCAGGGUCGCCUCUGAUAUCUUUUCCUGUUCUGUCACAUGACAAUAAAAUGAAAAGGGGAAA